rnacentral:rRNA from 1 species
GAUGAACGCUGGCGGCGUGCCUAAUACAUGCGAGUCGAGCGAACAGACGAGGAGCUUGCUCCUCUGACGUUAGCGGCGGACGGGUGAGUAACACGUGGAUAACCUACCUAUAAGACUGGGAUAACUUCGGGAAACCGGAGCUAAUACCGGAUAAUAUAUUGAACCGCAUGGUUCAAUAGUGAAAGACGGUUUUGCUGUCACUUAUAGAUGGAUCCACGCCGCAUUAGCUAGUUGGUAAGGUAACGGCUUACCAAGGCAACGAUGCGUAGCCGACCUGAGAGGGUGAUCGGCCACACUGGAACUGAGACACGGUCCAGACUCCUACGGGAGGCAGCAGUAGGGAAUCUUCCGCAAUGGGCGAAAGCCUGACGGAGCAACGCCGCGUGAGUGAUGAAGGUCUUCGGAUCGUAAAACUCUGUUAUUAGGGAAGAACAAAUGUGUAAGUAACUAUGCACGUCUUGACGGUACCUAAUCAGAAAGCCACGGCUAACUACGUG